ACUCCUACGGGAGGCAGCAGUGAGGAAUUUUGCGCAAUGGGGGAAACCCUGACGCAGCAACGCCGCGUGAGCGAUGAAGGCUUUCGGGUCGUAAAGCUCUGUCAAGUGGGAAGAACCUGCAGUAUGCUAAUAUCAUAUUGCACUGACGGUACCACUGAAGGAAGCACCGGCUAACUCCGUGCCAGCAGCCGCGGUAAUACGGGGGGUGCAAGCGUUAUUCGGAAUCAUUGGGCGUAAAGAGCACGUAGGCGGCUUGGUAAGUCAGAUGUGAAAGCCCGGGGCUUAACCCCGGAAGUGCAUUUGAUACUGUCCGGCUUGAGUAUGGGAGAGGGAAGUGGAAUUCCUGGUGUAGAGGUGAAGUCCGGAUAUUCCGGGAAGAGCACGGGUGGCGAAGGCGACCUCCUGGACCAAUACUGACUCUGAGGGAGCAAAGCGUGGGGAGCAAACAGGAUUAGAUACCCUGGUAGUCCACGCCGUAAACGAUGUCAACUAGGUGUAGCGGGUAUUGACCCCUGCUGUGCCGCAGUUAACGCAUUAAGUGAUCCGCCUGGGGAGUACGGUCGCAAGAUUAAAACUCAAAGGAAUUGACGG
rnacentral:rRNA from 1 species